GGAAUAUUGGUCAAUGGGCGCGAGCCUGAACCAGCCAAGUAGCGUGCAGGAAGACUGCCCUAUGGGUUGUAAACUGCUUUUAUACAGGGAUAAAGUGUGCCACGUGUGGCGUUUUGUAGGUACUGUAUGAAUAAGGACCGGCUAAUUCCGUGCCAGCAGCCGCGGUAAUACGGAAGGUCCGGGCGUUAUCCGGAUUUAUUGGGUUUAAAGGGAGCGCAGGCCGACUGGUAAGCGUGACGUGAAAUGUAGCCGCUCAACGGCUGCACUGCGUCGCGAACUGGCUUUCUUGAGUGAGUUCGAUGUAGGCGGAAUUCGUGGUGUAGCGGUGAAAUGCUUAGAUAUCACGAAGAACCCCGAUUGCGAAGGCAGCUGACGAGUCCUUUACUGACGCUAAAGCUCGAAGGUGCGGGUAUCGAACA
rnacentral:rRNA from 1 species